AGGUGAUAUAUUGAAAAAAGGUAUAUGUAAUUAAUAUUAUUUUAAGGAUUACGAAUCAAAAUUUAAAGAAUGAUAAAAAGAUAAAAACUGUAAUAACAGGGAUCAAUCAUAAUCAUGAAAAUGAUAAAAAGAGAAACAAGUGGAAUGAAACAUCUGAGUAACUUGUUAAAUAACCAACAGGGAUAAUAUAAGUAACGGUGAGUGAAAGUAUUAAAAUCUUAAAGUAUUACCAAGAGGUAAGAAUAAAGUAGUUUCCAACUACUAAGAAAUAAAAUUAAAUUUUAGAUUAAAGUACCGCAAGGGAAAGUAAAGAAAUAGAAUAAUAAAGAGCAGUUAUAGUAUAACGUACCUCUUGUAUAAGUGCGACAAGAAGCAUUAAUAAUUAAUGUGGCUAAUAACCACCUAACCUUUCCAUUGGUUAGACCCUAUCUAUACAUGCUGAAGGAGUAAUCAUCAGUUUGAAGCUAUAGAGACAAUGUAACAUUAUUCCCAUUAAAAUUUAAUCGGAGUGCUAGGGUAAUAAUUCUAUGAUAAACGAAAGUGAACUUGCAUUGAGGCUUCGUAAAAAAUGGCCCCGCUUCGGGGGGCGAUACCGGCCUACCGGCCGGCAUUGUUAAGUCAAAUCUUUCUUAUACUGGGAUUUGAAAUGGAACAUAUUUAACACGAAGUAAAGCAUAGUAUCUAAGGAAUGUCCGAUAUAUGAUCGGUAAAUUAUGGGGUUUACAACCCCAUGAUUAAUGGAAAAUUUAUUCCAUAUAUGAUUUUAAUUAUUAGUGAACUUGGUAAGCCCUUAGUUUUCUAAAUAUAAUGUUAUAUUUAGAGGUAACAUAUAAAGAUUAAUCUGAAAUUGUUAUAUCGAACUUAGGGUAUAAGAAGAUUCAAAAAGCGAAUGCAGAUUAGUAAUAGAUCUGAUAAAGUUUUAUAACUUAAUCCGAGAGGAUGCAGACUUGAAUCAUUGUGAUCUUCAUAAUUAUUUAGCUCUUUAAGAGCAAUAUGAUAAUCUAAAGCUUUCGGUAGAUUAUGAUAGAGAUCUUGUUAUAAUACAAGUGAAAAUAAUUAUUGCUAAAUAAAAGUCCCCAUAGUGGGUUAUUGGCUAAUAUUGUAAUAUUACAAUUAAGUAAGAUUGCAUGAGCCGUAUGCGAUGAAAGUCGCACGUACGGUUCUAAGGGGGGGAAAAACUGAGAGGUUCUACCUAUCCCAAUUGGGCCAGUGAGUUAUAUAAUUUAGUGAAAAAUUGAAUAAAAAUUUUUAUAUAUAAAUAGAAAUAAAUUAAAUUAUAUAGGCCCGAAAGCAAACGAUCUACACAUGUCCAAGUGUAUAUACAACCUAUUUUAGGUUUAUAUAUGACUCAAUAGGUAAUUGUAGCAAUAAUUUCUAAAGAGGUGUGUGUAGCUGUGACAGACAAAUCUGGUUUGCAGAUAGCUGGUUUUCUGCGAAAUAUAUUUUAGUAUAGCCUUUAUACAUAUUUAAACUGGUACAGCACUUAAAUAACUUUGGGGAAUUAGAAUAUAAUUUUAUCAAAAUAUUUAAACCUCGGAAUCAGUUAAUAAUAAUAUAAGGAGUCAGACUUAUUGCGAUAAGGUAGUAGGUCGAGAAGGAAACAACCUAGACUAUUAAAUGAAUGUCCCAAAUAUUAAUUAAGUGAACAAAAUCUAUCCUACUUUUAUUUUUUUAAUAAAAGUUGAAAUUAUAUAUUAUAAUUUCUUCCCCUCAGGGAAGAUAAUCAUCCCCCGCUUCGCGGGGGAUAAUUUCACAUUAUUUUUCUUCGGAAUUAUAUACGGGGUAUUAAAUUAUAGACAAUUAGUAAGUGGGUUUGACAAUAAUCAACUUUUAAUGAACAUGUAACAAUGCACUAAUUUUAUAUAUAUAUAUAAAUAAUAUAUAUAUUUAUUAAUAAUAGAGAAAAUAUAUCGGGUCUAAAUUAAUAACAGUAUUAUAGAUAUAAUCAUUAAGAUUAUAUGGUAGCAGAAUAUAUAAUGGAUAAUUAUAAAGAGAUUGCUGGCUUGAGUAACGAUAGAUAAUAUAAGAUUAUCCCCUUAUUCAUAAGGUUUUACUAUAAACGAACGGUCCCUAAGAUUAUUAUAGAAAUAUAAAAUUGAUGGGUGAAAGAACAAGAAAAUAAAAAUGAACCGUACUGUAGACCGACACAGGUAUGAUUAGCAAAAAGGGAAUGGGAUAACUACUUUGAAUGAACUCGGCAAAAUAAAUCGUGCGACUGUUUACCAAAAACAUAGCUUAUUGCAUACUAGCAAUAGUAAGUAUAAUAAGUGAUAUCUGCCCGGUGUUAGUUUAAUAAAUAUUAUUAUUUAAUAGAUAAUUUUAUAAAAGACUGAUAAACGGCGGUCUUAUUGUGAGGAUCCGAAGGUAGCGGUGCGACAAGAUAAAUUCCCCCGCUUCGCGGGGGGAUUAUAUCCCCCUUUGGGGGAUAAAUUCGUAAUAAGAAUAAGGUGAAAACCCUUUACAAUAAAAGUCAUAUUUGUAAACCUAAUUCAACAUGCAUUAUGAGUAAUUAUUUUGUAUGAAGCUUGAAUGACAACGGCUAUAAACUUUAUCUGAUAUAAGUGAUCUGGUCUAGGUUAGAACGACAUGAUUAGUUUAUCAAAAUAGUGGAUUAAAAUCUCGUUAUAGGAAAGUAACAUGAUCAGUUUUUGGUUACUAUAUAUGAUUUAAAUAAUAUCGACGCUACGGAUAUUAUUAUAUGACUUAAUAAUAAAAAAUCAUCGGGAUAUAGCUAUAAUCUAAAUCGUUCAUUAAAGUCUUAUUACGGAAACUUGGUAAGCCUUAUACAUACCUAUAUUUUAUAGGAAGUAAUAUAUAAAAUUAAUAUAAUGGAAAUUAUUAUAUAGUGUAGAAGGUAAAGGAUAAAUAUAAAAAGCGAAUGAUUUUAUGUAAUGUAAAAUAUAGAGUUAAAUAACUCAUUCUGAAAGGAAGCUAACUUAUAUAUAAGGCCAUAAAAAUUUUUAUGGUUUGAGCCGUAAGCAGUGAAAGUUGCACAUACGGUUCUUAAGGGGGGAAAGCUUGAGAGGGCCUACCUAUCCUAACAAAUUCAUUGACGUAUAAUUGACGUCCUGCAUGAAUGAAUAUACGAUGCGAUAACUGUAUCCAAAGUAGACUCAGUGAAAUAGCAAUUGCGGUGAAAUUAGUACUAUAAUAAAUAUAUUAUACGCCGGGUUGGUGUAAAUCCAACUUUAUAGUUUUAAUAAUGCCGGCCGUAGGCCGGUAUGGCCCCGCUUAGCGGGGCCAUGAUAUAUUAAAUGUCUUAAAUGAUAGAUAAGUAUAAUAAAUAAGAAUACAAUCGAAAUAAUACUUACCCCUUAAAUAUAAGGGUAAAUUACAUAUAGGCAAUAUGUAGUUUAAUCACUAUAAAUAAAAAGGUGAAAACGGUUAAUGACAUCUUAGUUAAAGACCGUCGGCAGUUGUAUAUGUCGCUACAGACUGGUUCACCGAGGUUAGACUGAAAUGUCUGUCUAAAUGUACAGUCGGAUUCUGUAAUAUAAUAUUUAUAUUAUAUAGAGGUGAAAGAUGUAUAAAAAAAUACAACUUAUUAGUACUUAAGUAAGAAACCUUUGUAGGUCAAACCUACUUAAAUUAAUCAGAAUUGGAAGAUGCCGUAUAUCCGUAGGUUGACAAAAAGACCCUAUGCAGCUUUACUAUAUCUUUAUUUUGAUUUUUAAUCAUAAUACUUUUAUGAUUAGCCUUUUUUCAUUUAUUUCAGCAGAUUAGGUUAUAUUUAUAUUUUAAAUCAAAUGAGAUACCUAUAUAAUUGAAAAAAGAAUCUAAUUAAUACAGUCAGAAUUCUAUAAUAUAGAAUGUUAGUUAUACUAAUUGACUUAAGUUUAACUUAUUUAAGAAAGAGUAAAGAGGUUAGUUUCGAUGGGGCGUCGACAUCAGCGAAAGCAUCUGAUGUGUCUAAUAACAAAGAUCUUGAUUAAUCAAGACUAAAUGUUUAAUUAAAUUUUUUAUUUAAUAGUAAAUUACGUACAAUAAUUCUAUAUGGUAAAUAGAAUAAAAGAUUAUAAGUAAGGAUAACAACAUAAUUGUGCGAUGAUAAUAACACUAACAAGUGGAAUUAGUACUUACGUAGAGUGUAGUGAACAGGCAUAAACAAAUGGUAUGGAUGUCGAUAACGGAUUAAAGUUACGCUAGGGAUUAAUUGUUAGUUCCUUUAUAUAGAAAUAUAUAUUUAUCUACGCUUUAGUUAGAUAACUUUCAUUUGAAAGAUAUUAAUUGGGUGAAUUACAUAGAACUCUUUAUAUAUAAAGACAAUAUGUAGCGAAACAUAUAUUAGUUAAAUUUUUAAGAUAUAUGAACGUUCAACGACUAGUAAUUGAGUAAACUAACAAUAAUAUUACCACGAGCGCCCAAUACCUAUGAAUUAUCCCCCCCCCGCGAAGCGGGGGGUUGAUUAUAUCCCCCAAAGGGGAUAAAUAAUUAGGUAAAGAAAUAGUCUGAACUAUAUAGUAAUAUAUAGAUGUUGUUAUUAAAAAAACAACAAAUAACAAAAUUGAACAGGGUAAUACCGCGUGAGAGUUGAUAUCGUCAGCGGUGUUUGCCACCUCGAUAAAUAACGAUAGUCGAGUUUAAAUAGGUUUAAUUGCAAGAAGUCUAAAAUAUAUGACAUAUUAGUUUGAUAUAUAAAAUGAUGAUUUGCAGCGAAUUAUUAUUUAUAUAAAUAAUAUAUAUAUAUUAUAAGAAUAAUAAACGUUCAACGACUAGUAGGUGAGUAAAAUAACAAUAUCCUACCACGAAAUACCUAGAAAUAUAUAUAUUUAUAUUUUAAGAUAUAGUCUGAACAAUAAUGAAAAUUAUUGAAGUUAAUAUUAAAUAAGUUAACGAUAACAAAUUGGUCGUCUAGACUCGUCCUCCUGGUCGCAGCAACUAGGUAGGGUAGGACUGUUCGUCCUCUAAGGAGUUACUUGAGAUGGGUUAAUUACGACGUGAGUCAGUAAUGAUUUUAUCAUCUAUGGAUUUUUUUCUUAUCUGUUGCCUUAAGUGUACGCAAGGAUAAUAAGGUACAUUCCUAUGGUUAAUUAAUAUAUUUAGCUAAGAAUGUUGUGUUUACAUAUUGAAUGCAUAUCAAAUAUUAAAUCCUUCAGAUAAGUUUAUACAUUAUAGACUAUAAUGUAUUAGUUAAUUUGUUAUAUUUGCAAAUAUACUAAUUUAUUUACUCAUAUUUUAUGAGUAUAAAAAAACAUAUACCU
rnacentral:rRNA from 1 species